GAUGAAGAACGUAGCGAAAUGCGAUAAGUAAUGUGAAUUGCAGAAUUCAGUGAAUCAUCGAAUCUUUGAACGCACCUUGCGCCCUUUGGACUUCUGAAGGGCAUGCCUGUUUGAGUAUCAUGAACACCUCAACUCCUUAUGGUCUUCCAUGAUGAGCUUGGACUUUGGGGGUUUUGCUGGCCUACAGUCAGCUCCUCUAAAAUAAAUCAGCUUACCGGUGUUUGGUGGGUAUCAUGGGUGUGAUAACUAUCUACGCUCGUGGUUUUCCACCAGGUAACCUUCAGCAGUGGAGGUUCACUGGAGCUCAUAGAUGUCUCUCCUCAGCGAGGACAGCCCUUUGAAUGUUUGAUCUCAAAUCAGGUAGGACUACCCGCUGAACUUAAGCAUAUCAAUAAGCGGAGGA
rnacentral:misc_RNA from 1 species